CACCCGUGCUGUGCCUUGAGAUUUCCAGCAAAGGAUCUCAGUGAGGAACAGAGAAAGCAAAAAACUCCCCAGAGUCACCCCGGCUGAUAUGUCUUUCAUACUUGAAAGAGUUUAUGAAACACUGGAAUUAUUUCUGCCUUGCAUAUUCAGAAGAACUUACCACUUAAUUUUUUUGCCUGGAAAAUAACAUUUGCUACUCAAUCAGCUUUGUUAUGAAACCAUGGGCUUUUCCAUAGGUAGCUCACAACAUGGCCUCCAGCUUCAUCAAAGUGAGAAAGCAAGAGACAGCGAGAGAGAGAAUGAGGCACAAGUUAGUCUUUUAUAACGUGAUCUUAGGCAUAACAUUAGCAAGCAGAUUUGCAAGACCCACGGCCACCCUGCAGCUGAUGCACACCACGUGCAGGAACUCCCAUCACCCAUGGCCACCCUGCCAAAAUGCUUUGUCAGCAACCCCUAUUGGAGCGUUGUUGCCAGUGGACCCGGAACACCUUGGCCAUUCCAGCAUAGGAGGUGCUUAACCUUGAAGGGCCAGGAAAAAAAAAAAAAAAAGCCAUGGGCCAGGUCCCAGGUCCCUGUAGUUAGAGCAUGCAGCUCAGGAGUGCUGAGUUGAGCCUGGGCCCCUUGAAAUCAUCCAGAAACAAAUGCAGUUGUCUAAGCCCAAGUUAUACCACUGUGAAACCCUCAAGGGCAUCAGAGAAUA
rnacentral:lncRNA from 10 species